GAAAAUUUUGUCUGUGAGAAUGGUGAGGCUCUGGAACACGUUGUCCAGACAAGUUGUGGACUCCCCAUCCCUGGAAGUGUUCAAGGCCAGGUUGGAUGGGGCUCUGAGCAACUUGGGAUAGUG